AUGACGGGCUAUCUUGACGGCUCGAUCAAGGAGCCCGCCGCUGUCAUCGUCACCGAGAAGGAUAAUGCUGGGAAGGAGAUCACCGAGACGCCCAACCCAGAACACGCGAUCUGGGUCACCCAAGAUCAGCAGGUGCUUACUUUUUUGCUAGCCUCUCUAUCCCGCGAGGUUCUGAUGCAGGUUUCCAACCACACCACCGCCGCGGGAGUCUGGCAAGCCCUGGUGGAGAGCUUCUCUGCCCAGUCUCGGGCGCGCCAGAUACAACUUCGUUCCGCGAUCGGGAAUGCA
rnacentral:rRNA from 1 species